AGAAGAAGCAGACAAAGAAGAAGAAGAAGAAGGAUUCUAGCUCUUCUGAUGAUAGCUCCUCUUCUUCCUCCGAUAGUGAUGAUGACAAGAAAAAGAAGAAGAAGAAGAAGGA